rnacentral:rRNA from 1 species
ACUCCUACGGGAGGCAGCGGUGAGGAAUUUUCCGCAAUGGGCGAAAGCCUGACGGAGCAAUGCCACGUGAAGGAUGACGGCCUGUGGGUUGUAAACUUCUUUUCUCAGAGAAGAAUUUUUGACGGUAUCUGAGGAAUAAGCAUCGGCUAACUCUGUGCCAGCAGCCGCGGUAAUAC